rnacentral:rRNA from 1 species
CCCUUAGAUGUUCUGGGCCGCACGCGUGCUACACUGAGUGGAUCAGCGGGUCAGGUUGCGCGAAAGCGUUUCCUAAUCUUUAAAUCCGCUCGUGAUGGGGAUUGACGGUUGCAAUUUUCUGUCAUGAACGAGGAAUACCUUGUAAGCGCGGGUCAUCAUCCCGCGCUGAAUACGUCCCUGCCCUUUGUACACACCGCCCGUCGCUCCUACCGAUUGAGUGGUCCGGUGAGGCUUUGGGAUCUGAGCGGAAAGAGCGUUUCGCUGUUUCUGCUCGGAAAACUCAGUCGAACCUUAUCAUUUAGAGGGAGGAGAAGUCGUAACA